rnacentral:rRNA from 1 species
CAAUACCCGUUGAUCCUGCGGGAGGUCGCUGCUAUCAGAGUUCGAUUUAGCUAAGCUAGUCAAGGGGUCGCAAGACACCGGCGGAAAGUUCCGUAACACGUCGUUAAUCUGCCCUUAGAUCCAGGAUAGUCUUGGGAAACUGAGUUUAAUACUGGAUAUGGGAUUGAUACUGGAAUGUUCUUUCCUUCAAACGUAAGGUCUAAGGAUGAGACGGCGGCCGAUUAGGUCGUUGGUGGGGUAAUGGCCCACCAAGCCAACGAUCGGUAGGGGCCUUGAAAGAGGUAGCCCCGAGGAGGACACUGAGAUAAGGGUCCUGACUCUACGGAGUAUAGCAAGCGCGAAACCUUUACAAUACACGCAAGUGUGAUAAGGGAACUCUGAGUGCCCAUGCAAUGCAUGGGCUUUUGCCGAGUGUAAAUAACUCGGAGAAUAAGUGGUGGGCAAGACUGGUGCCAGCAGCCGCGGU